rfam:Brassica oleracea var. oleracea cultivar TO1000 chromosome C4, whole genome shotgun sequence
GGAAUAUAAGAACCCGUCUCUUAACUUUUAACUAAAAAAGUUAAGAGACGGGUUCUUAGCUUUUUUUAAAUAAGAGAUUUAAGAACCGGUUCUUAGCUUUUUUUAGUUAAAAGUUAAGAGACGGUUCUUAUAUUCC